GUGUCAGCCGCCGCGGUAAGACGAACCAAGCGAACGUUAUUCGGAAUUACUGGGCUUAAAGCGCGUGUAGGCGGAUGACCACGUCAGUUGUUGAAAUCCCCCGGCUCAACCGGGGAACUGGCACUGAUACGAGUCGUCUGGAGGUGGGUAGGGGAGACUGGAACUUCCGGUGGAGCGGUGAAAUGCGUUGAGAUCGGAAGGAACGCCCGCGGCGAAAGCGAGUCUCUGGACCCAUACUGACGCUGAGACGCGAAAGCCAGGGGAGCAAACGGGAUUAGAAACCCUCGUAGUCC
rnacentral:rRNA from 1 species